CUAAAUGCUGAUAUAUAAAUUAAAAGCCAAACCAAACCUGCGCGCCCUCUAAACCCUGCAAGCACUCCGCCGCUAACUCUUAUCGCAGCGAACUCAGCUUCUAUUUCUCCAGCGGAAUCAAAAAAUGGAAUCUGCAACCAAGCACGCUAUUGUGGUGAAAGUCAUGGGCCGCACAGGAUCAAGAGGGCAGGUGACUCAGGUGAGAGUCAAGUUCUUAGAUGACCAGAACCGGUUUAUCAUGAGAAACGUCAAGGGA